ensembl:lncRNA
AAAGAAUCAUAAUGGCAUUCACCAGUUACAGAUUUGUGAAAUUCUUUGGAAUGAGAACGAUAAGACCUCAUGUCAAGAUCUGGAAAUGCGUUAUGUGCUUUUAUUUGAACUGCAAUUACCUUUAAUGGAUGAGAUCCAUUUAAAAAAGGGCUAGAAGAUCCUAUCAUUUUCUUCCCGAGAACCGCAUUAGCUCUUGAUCCAGUUAACACCACAACAUGGAGUAAUAUCUAUCUCCACUUAUCUAUACACCAUUGUUUCCUAUCAAACCUAGGAUCCUUACCCUUCCCUUUCAUCACUCUUUCUAAUGGCUUAUUUGAUGAUAAUUAACCCUGAAUCCUACAGAGAUGGGCCGUGGGCAGAUUGAUGGCCUAGCCGGGGUGGAACACCUGUUUGGCAGAGGAGCUCACGGCACAGUGCAUGCUGAAUGUGACCGCCACAAGAUGAAGGCGGCGGUGCCAGAGACAAGCACAUAUGUGCUCUAGAAUGGUUUCGUGGACCUUGAGCACAGGAAUGACACAGUGCAUGACCUUGGUCAAACAGGUUUUGAACCUGUCUCAGGUAACUCGAAGAAUGCAGUCAUCUGGAUUUGUGCAUGAUUUUGCAUUAUAUUCAGGUAAGCUGAACACACAAAUGUCCUGUUUACCAAUAUAAAGCUGCUUAAUUUGGAAUUGACCUAUGGUGCUUCAUGCAGUGCUACAUAAUUUAGAAUAGACUUGAUUGACUAAUGUUACUGCACCUUUAAAAUGUUUGCUAAUAGUAAGCGAUGUUCAGUUUUUUUGUGAACAUCUUUCAUUAAUUUAUUGGACUCAUAAGACAUCAUAUACUAGUAUAACAUCAAAAGAUUGCUUAAAUUAUCAAUGCUGACAGCAUUAACAACCUGAUAUACAUUAAGGGUGUUUGUGCAUAUCAAGCAGCCCAUGCGCAGCCCGUUCAUUAUCAGUUAUCACUCGUCACAGGGUAAACACUUGUGGAUAAACACAUCUUUCUAUGCCACUCAGCAUAUUCACUUUAAGUCCCAGACAGCCCUGGAUUCCAAAAAUACAACAGCGCAAUUAGUUUGCGGCAUCUUGCCCCGUCUUUAUUGAAUGAUUAUGUACUACGUCUGAUUAGCCCUGAGGAAAUAAAGUAACGUCUUAGCAGAAAGACA